UUAAGCGACUAAGCGUACACGGUGGAUGCCCUGGCAGUCAGAGGCGAUGAAGGACGUGCUAAUCUGCGAUAAGCGUCGGUAAGGUGAUAUGAACCGUUAUAACCGGCGAUUUCCGAAUGGGGAAACCCAGUGUGAUUCGUCACACUAUCAUUAACUGAAUCCAUAGGUUAAUGAGGCGAACCGGGGGAACUGAAACAUCUAAGUACCCCGAGGAAAAGAAAUCAACCGAGAUUCCCCCAGUAGCGGCGAGCGAACGGGGAGGAGCCCAGAGCCUGAAUCAGUGUGUGUGUUAGUGGAAGCGUCUGGAAAGGCGCGCGAUACAGGGUGACAGCCCCGUACACAAAAAUGCACAUGCUGUGAGCUCGAUGAGUAGGGCGGGACACGUGGUAUCCUGUCUGAAUAUGGGGGGACCAUCCUCCAAGGCUAAAUACUCCUGACUGACCGAUAGUGAACCAGUACCGUGAGGGAAAGGCGAAAAGAACCCCGGCGAGGGGAGUGAAAAAGAACCUGAAACCGUGUACGUACAAGCAGUGGGAGCACAGAGCAAUCUGUGUGACUGCGUACCUUUUGUAUAAUGGGUCAGCGACUUAUAUUCUGUAGCAAGGUUAACCGAAUAGGGGAGCCGAAGGGAAACCGAGUCUUAACUGGGCGUUAAGUUGCAGGGUAUAGACCCGAAACCCGGUGAUCUAGCCAUGGGCAGGUUGAAGGUUGGGUAACACUAACUGGAGGACCGAACCGACUAAUGUUGAAAAAUUAGCGGAUGACUUGUGGCUGGGGGUGAAAGGCCAAUCAAACCGGGAGAUAGCUGGUUCUCCCCGAAAGCUAUUUAGGUAGCGCCUCGUGAAUUCAUCUCCGGGGGUAGAGCACUGUUUCGGCAAGGGGGUCAUCCCGACUUACCAACCCGAUGCAAACUGCGAAUACCGGAGAAUGUUAUCACGGGAGACACACGGCGGGUGCUAACGUCCGUCGUGAAGAGGGAAACAACCCAGACCGCCAGCUAAGGUCCCAAAGUCAUGGUUAAGUGGGAAACGAUGUGGGAAGGCCCAGACAGCCAGGAUGUUGGCUUAGAAGCAGCCAUCAUUUAAAGAAAGCGUAAUAGCUCACUGGUCGAGUCGGCCUGCGCGGAAGAUGUAACGGGGCUAAACCAUGCACCGAAGCUGCGGCAGCGACACUAUGUGUUGUUGGGUAGGGGAGCGUUCUGUAAGCCUGUGAAGGUGUACUGUGAGGUAUGCUGGAGGUAUCAGAAGUGCGAAUGCUGACAUAAGUAACGAUAAAGCGGGUGAAAAGCCCGCUCGCCGGAAGACCAAGGGUUCCUGUCCAACGUUAAUCGGGGCAGGGUGAGUCGACCCCUAAGGCGAGGCCGAAAGGCGUAGUCGAUGGGAAACAGGUUAAUAUUCCUGUACUUGGUGUUACUGCGAAGGGGGGACGGAGAAGGCUAUGUUGGCCGGGCGACGGUUGUCCCGGUUUAAGCGUGUAGGCUGGUUUUCCAGGCAAAUCCGGAAAAUCAAGGCUGAGGCGUGAUGACGAGGCACUACGGUGCUGAAGCAACAAAUGCCCUGCUUCCAGGAAAAGCCUCUAAGCAUCAGGUAACAUCAAAUCGUACCCCAAACCGACACAGGUGGUCAGGUAGAGAAUACCAAGGCGCUUGAGAGAACUCGGGUGAAGGAACUAGGCAAAAUGGUGCCGUAACUUCGGGAGAAGGCACGCUGAUAUGUAGGUGAAGUCCCUCGCGGAUGGAGCUGAAAUCAGUCGAAGAUACCAGCUGGCUGCAACUGUUUAUUAAAAACACAGCACUGUGCAAACACGAAAGUGGACGUAUACGGUGUGACGCCUGCCCGGUGCCGGAAGGUUAAUUGAUGGGGUCAGCGCAAGCGAAGCUCUUGAUCGAAGCCCCGGUAAACGGCGGCCGUAACUAUAACGGUCCUAAGGUAGCGAAAUUCCUUGUCGGGUAAGUUCCGACCUGCACGAAUGGCGUAAUGAUGGCCAGGCUGUCUCCACCCGAGACUCAGUGAAAUUGAACUCGCUGUGAAGAUGCAGUGUACCCGCGGCAAGACGGAAAGACCCCGUGAACCUUUACUAUAGCUUGACACUGAACAUUGAGCCUUGAUGUGUAGGAUAGGUGGGAGGCUUGGAAGUGUGGACGCCAGUCUGCAUGGAGCCGACCUUGAAAUACCACCCUUUAAUGUUUGAUGUUCUAACGUUGACCCGUAAUCCGGGUUGCGGACAGUGUCUGGUGGGUAGUUUGACUGGGGCGGUCUCCUCCUAAAGAGUAACGGAGGAGCACGAAGGUUGGCUAAUCCUGGUCGGACAUCAGGAGGUUAGUGCAAUGGCAUAAGCCAGCUUGACUGCGAGCGUGACGGCGCGAGCAGGUGCGAAAGCAGGUCAUAGUGAUCCGGUGGUUCUGAAUGGAAGGGCCAUCGCUCAACGGAUAAAAGGUACUCCGGGGAUAACAGGCUGAUACCGCCCAAGAGUUCAUAUCGACGGCGGUGUUUGGCACCUCGAUGUCGGCUCAUCACAUCCUGGGGCUGAAGUAGGUCCCAAGGGUAUGGCUGUUCGCCAUUUAAAGUGGUACGCGAGCUGGGUUUAGAACGUCGUGAGACAGUUCGGUCCCUAUCUGCCGUGGGCGCUGGAGAACUGAGGGGGGCUGCUCCUAGUACGAGAGGACCGGAGUGGACGCAUCACUGGUGUUCGGGUUGUCAUGCCAAUGGCACUGCCCGGUAGCUAAAUGCGGAAGAGAUAAGUGCUGAAAGCAUCUAAGCACGAAACUUGCCCCGAGAUGAGUUCUCCCUGACUCCUUGAGAGUCCUGAAGGAACGUUGAAGACGACGACGUUGAUAGGCCGGGUGUGUAAGCGCAGCGAUGCGUUGAGCUAACCGGUACUAAUGAACCGUGAGGCUUAACCUU
rnacentral:rRNA from 1 species